GACGAACGCUGGCGGCGUGCUUAACACAUGCAAGUCGAACGGAAAGGCCCUGCUUUUGUGGGGUGCUCGAGUGGCGAACGGGUGAGUAACACGUGAGUAACCUGCCCUUGACUUUGGGAUAACUUCAGGAAACUGGGGCUAAUACCGUAUAGGAGCUCCUGCUGCAGGGUGGGGGUUGGAAAGUUUCGGCGGUUGGGGAUGGACUCGCGGCUUAUCAGCUUGUUGGUGGGGUAGUGGCUUACCAAGGCUUUGACGGGUAGCCGGCCUGCGAGGGUGACCGGCCACAUUGGGACUGAGAUACGGCCCAGACUCCUACGGGAGGCAGCAGUGGGGAAUAUUGCACAAUGGGCGGAAGCCUGAUGCAGAAACGCCGCGUGCGGGAUGACGGCCUUCGGGUUGUAAACCGCUUUCGCCUGUGACGAAGCGUGAGUGACGGUAAUGGGUAAAGAAGCACCGGCUAACUACGUG
rnacentral:rRNA from 1 species